GAAUAAAUGUCAAUUAAAUUUUGUUGACCAUUUGUAUUGGCUUAAUUGAGUUUGCUUGUUUGUUGUUGGGCCUUGGUCAAGGUAUAUUUGACUUUGUCAAAUUAAUAUCAUUGGAUUUAGGGGAUUGAUGGAAUGUACAUUCCAUCUCCCAAAAUGAAUGAAUGAUAUUAAUUUGGUAAAAGUCCUCAUUUGACCAAUUUGUGAUC
rnacentral:lncRNA from 1 species